rnacentral:rRNA from 1 species
UACGUAGGGGGCGAGCGUUGUCCGGAUUUAUUGGGCGUAAAGAGCUCGUAGGCGGCUCGUCGCGUCGACCGUGAAAUCCCGCAGCUUAACUGUGGGCUUGCGGUCGAUACGGGCAUCACUGGAGUUCGGCAGGGGAGACUGGAAUUCCUGGUGUAGCGGUGAAAUGCGCAGAUAUCAGGAGGAACACCGGUGGCGAAGGCGGGUCUCUGGGCCGAUACUGACGCUGAGGAGCGAAAGCGUGGGGAGCGAACAGG